AUAAGAAUUGUCACAGGUAGAGUUUUUUAUAGCCCUAGUAUCCUAAGUGAUGUGAUGGUUCAAGUUUUUAUUUUCCUUUAGAAAUGAAUAAUCUGAAACAUUGUUUUCACUCCGUGUGUCUACAGGGGAGAAUUUCACAAUCUGAAGAAUCAAAAAACAGCUUCGCACUGCCAAUACCUGCAUUUGAAAUAUGUGAUGGCAGUUUGGAGAAAACCAGUGUACAGAUCAUAGCACACAUUUAUUUUGUAGUGAUACACUUGAAAACCAAAAUCAUGUGUAGCAUAAAGUGGGCAAUCUUGCAGAAAUUAUGUAAAACUUCCCAUUGUAUGUGCAAUAAAUUAUGUUCCAGAUUGGUCUGUCUUCAUCUUGCCUCUGGGAUUCUCUUGGAUGGGUUUAUUCUGUUCUGUGCUUGGACUUCUCAGUCAUUUGACUUCUCUUAACGGCCUGUGCCAUUUAUUUGGAAUGGGAAUAAGGUAGGCCACAGAUAAUUAUUUAUUAUUCAUUCUUUGGAUAUUUUCAAAAUUUUGUGUGGGGGCCACAACUCUGCCUAAUCCUUCUGCCUAAUCAUUCAAUUUUUCUGCCAAAGGCUUCAUAUAAGAAAUUAUUCUAUUGUUUUAUCCCCUUGCUUAGGAUCACAAUAUUCAUGGAGUCUUUGCCACUUGUUACAGUGAACAUGUAGAUUUUUUGUUGUUCAUUUCUUAGCUCAACCACUUAUUUUCUCCAGAAUUUGUGCUGUUCAUUUCUUAGCCACUUAUUUUCCUUUUUUUGAACAGUCAAGUCUUGUGGUUUUUGUUUGUUUAUUUGUUUUCCUUCAUCUUCCUCCCCUCCCCCUCCCCCUUUGAUUUGUUCUAUAGAGCUGUUCAGUUCUUAGUUUCACCUUUGAAAUUCAAAUAGAGAUCCAGUUUUCUUAAUGAUCAUUCUGUACAUGCUUAUGAUUGCUCUUACCUAAUUUCCAAAUAACUGGGUAUAUAUUUUGAAGUCAGCAACUCCCUUCUUAAUGUCAUGGUCAAGGCCACAUAGACACUGAGCAUCUGCCCCCAUCAAGUUAGAUAUUCACUGAGGAAGAACCACCAUGUUAUAUAUUCAAUAUCACAGAGCAAUGUGGAUUCAGGCCACUGUGGGUACAAUAGUGUACAGGCAUUAUAUAAUUCUGAGCAACUCUGGCCACAGGAGGAAUAGGAAUAUACAGUGAAUUUAGGUGUUUAUAUCAAGGUGCUGGUAUUGGUCAGGAGACAUAUACAUGUAUGAUAUAAAUUCUCAGGUGUUAAAGUCCAUGGAACAGAAGGAUGUGUUUCCCUAAAACAGACUUCAUGUUGGAAUUUAUCAUUUCUAUUUAUUGUAUACUGAUGGUUGACUACACUGAAACUAUCCUAAGGGAACUAAACUUAAAGGAAUUUAUU
rnacentral:lncRNA from 1 species